rnacentral:rRNA from 1 species
CUCCGGUUGAUCCCGCCGGACCCGACUGCUAUCGGAUUGAGAUUUAGCCAUGCGAGUCGAACGUCUCCCUGUUGCGGGGGGCGUGGCGUACGGCUCAGUAACACGUAGUCAACCUGCCCUGGAGACAAGGACAACCCCGGGAAACUGGGAUUAAUCCUUGAUAGGUCAUCUCAUCUGGAAGGAGAGAUGGCUUAAAGGGGUACGCGGGCUUCUUCCGCGAAUUCGCUCCAGGAUGGGACUGCGUCCGAUCAGGCUGUUGGCGGGGUAAUGGCCCACCAAACCUGUAACCGGUACGGGCCUUGAGAGAGGUGGCCCGGAGAUGGACACUGAGAGAAGGGUCCAGGUCCUACGGGGCGCAGCAGGCGCGAAACCUUCGCAAUGCGCGAAAGCGUGACGAGGUUAAUCCGAGUGACUCCCGCUUAGGGGGUCUUUUGUCAGCUGUAAAUAGGCAGGCGAAUAAGGGGAGGGCAAGCCUGGUGUCAGCCGCCGCGGUAAUACCAGCUCCUCGAGUGGUCGGGGCGAUUAUUGGGCCUAAAGCAUCCGUAGCCGGUUCCGUAGGUCCUCUGUUAAAUCCAACCGCUUAACGGUUGACCUGCAGAGGAUACCGCGGGACUAGGAGGCGGGAGAGGCGGACGGUACUCCGCGUGUAGGGGUAAAAUCCUUUGAUCCGCGGAAGACCACCAGUGGCGAAGGCGGUCCGCCAGAACGCGCUCGACGGUGAGGGACGAAAGCUGGGGGAGCGAACCGGAUUAGAUAUCCGGGUAGUCCCAGCCGUAAACGAUGCUAGCUAGAUGAUUCAUUCGCAAGUCGCGAAUGAAGUGUCGCAGGGAAGCCGUUAAGCUAGCCGCCUGGGGAGUACGGUCGCAAGACUGAAACUUAAAGGAAUUGGCGGGGGAGCA